CCCUACGGGGGGCAGCAGUGAGGAAUAUUGGUCAAUGGGAGAGAUCCUGAACCAGCCAAGCCGCGUGAGGGAAGACGGCCCUAUGGGUUGUAAACCUCUUUUGUCGGAGAACAAAACCCGGGACGUGUCCCGGACUGCGUGUAUCCGAAGAAAAAGCAUCGGCUAACUCCGUGCCAGCAGCCGCGGUAAUACGGAGGAUGCGGGCGUUAUCCGGAUUUAUUGGGUUUAAAGGGUGCGUAGGCGGUCCGUUAGGUCAGCGGUAAAAUUGCGGGGCUCAACCCCGUCGAGCCGUUGAAACUGGCAGA
rnacentral:rRNA from 1 species